GGGGAAUAUUGCACAAUGGGCGCAAGCCUGAUGCAGCGACGCCGCGUGGGGGAUGACGGCCUUCGGGUUGUAAACCCCUUUCGCCCGGGACGAAGCGUAAGUGACGGUACCGGGAGAAGAAGCACCGGCCAACUACGUGCCAGCAGCCGCGGUAAUACGUAGGGUGCAAGCGUUGUCCGGAAUUAUUGGGCGUAAAGAGCUCGUAGGCGGUGUGUCACGUCUGCCGUGAAAACCUGCGGCUUAACCGUGGGCGUGCGGUGGAUACGGGCAUCACUUGAGUUCGGUAGGGGAGACUGGAAUUCCUGGUGUAGCGGUGGAAUGCGCAGAUAUCAGGAGGAACACCGGUGGCGAAGGCGGGUCUCUGGGCCGAGACUGACGCUGAGGAGCGAAAGCGUGGGGAGCGAAC
rnacentral:rRNA from 1 species